UUACAUUUUCUAUAAACAGAGCUCAAAUUUAUUGCAUUUUCCUGUUCUCUUUUGAUUGACAGGAUAUCACCAUGACUAUCGGUCAACUACUGGUCGAUAGCAGAUAAUGUGAAAAAUUGCUUUUAUCGACUGAUACAGAUUAUUGGCUGAUAUAUUGGUGCAUCUCUAUCAACAGAGCAACACAAUAAGAGCCAGGGGAUGAAUCUCAACAUCAAUGUUGGAAAGGGGCCAAACAUGCACAAGAUGCUGCAGAAACACAGAGUGUGCAGAACCUGGAGGACUUUUUCUUAAGGCCAUAACAUAAAAACAGUCAUUGAUCAACCAGUGAACGGCAUAGGAGGAUUUUAGGACACAUUUUUUCUUUACCACAAAUGGCAGUCAAGAAUUUCCUAGAACAGGUGACCUCUGUAAGAGGUGAAAUGGCCGGAGGGAAGGGAUGCAGAGACCAGCUCAUCUCCACAAAAUAACAGCUCAACUAA